GAUCAUGCUCAGGAUGAACGCUAGCGGCAGGCCUAACACAUGCAAGUCGAGGGGCAUCGGGAUUGAAGCUUGCUUCAAUUGCCGGCGACCGGCGCACGGGUGCGUAACGCGUAUGUAACCUACCUAUAACAGGGGCAUAACACUGAGAAAUUGGUACUAAUUCCCCAUAAUAUUCGGAGAGGCAUCUCUCCGGGUUGAAAACUCCGGUGGUUAUAGAUGGACAUGCGUUGUAUUAG
rnacentral:rRNA from 1 species